AGAGUCUCCUGAAGGAACGUUGAAGACGACGACGUUGAUAGGCCGGGUGUGUAAGCGCAGCGAUGCGUUGAGCUAACCGGUACUAAUGAACCGUGAGGCUUAACCUUAC
rnacentral:rRNA from 2 species